CUGGUGGGUAGUUUGACUGGGGCGGUCUCCUCCUAAAGAGUAACGGAGGAGCACGAAGGUUGGCUAAUCCUGGUCGGACAUCAGGAGGUUAGUGCAAUGGCAUAAGCCAGCUUGACUGCGAGCGUGACGGCGCGAGCAGGUGCGAAAGCAGGUCAUAGUGAUCCGGUGGUUCUGAAUGGAAGGGCCAUCGCUCAACGGAUAAAAGGUACUCCGGGGAUAACAGGCUGAUACCGCCCAAGAGUUCAUAUCGACGGCGGUGUUUGGCACCUCGAUGUCGGCUCAUCACAUCCUGGGGCUGAAGUAGGUCCCAAGGGUAUGGCUGUUCGCCAUUUAAAGUGGUACGCGAGCUGGGUUUAGAACGUCGUGAGACAGUUCGGUCCCUAUCUGCCGUGGGCGCUGGAGAACUGAGGGGGGCUGCUCCUAGUACGAGAGGACCGGAGUGGACGCAUCACUGGUGUUCGGGUUGUCAUGCCAAUGGCACUGCCCGGUAGCUAAAUGCGGAAGAGA
rnacentral:rRNA from 1 species